UUUGAUAGCCUAAAAUGGGGUUUGUGUUUCGGCCACAGAUUAGGAGAGAGAGUAGGUCUUCUGUCAAAG
rnacentral:tRNA from 1 species